AGAGUGAACGCUGGCGGCGUGGAUUAGGCAUGCAAGUCGCGCGAUCUCGCAAGAGAUAGCGGCAAACGGGUGAGGAACACGUGAGCAACUUGCCCUUAAGACAGGGAUAGCUACGUGAAAACGUAGGUAAUACCUGAUACUGUCAUAGAAUCGCAUGGUUUUGUGACCAAAGGCGGGGACCGCAAGGCCUGCCACUUAAGGAUGGGCUCACGUCCUAUCAGCUAGUUGGUGAGGUAAUGGCUCACCAAGGCUUAUGACGGGUAGCUGGUCUAAGAGGAUGGUCAGCCACACUGGGACUGAGACACUGCCCAGACUCCUACGGGAGGCUGCAGCCGAGAAUAUUUAGCAAUGGGCGAAAGCCUGACUAUGCGACGCCGCGUGCGGGAUGAAGGUUUUCGGAUCGUAAACUGCUUUUUUCAGGAAAGAACAUCCAGACGUUAACAGCGUCUGGACUGACGGUACCUGAAGAAUAAGCCACGGCCAACUCCGUGCCAGCAGCCGCGGUAAUACGGGGGUGGCAAGCGUUACUCGGAAUCAUUGGGUGUAAAGGGCAAGUAGGCGGCAUAGUAAGUGGGGGGUGAAAUCUUCCGACUCAAUCGGGAAACUGCCUUUCAAACUGCUGUGCUUGAGGUAGGAAGAGGAAGACGGAAUUCUCGGUGUAAGGGUGAAAUCUGUAGAUAUCGAGAAGAACACCAGCGGCGAAGGCGGUCUUCUGGUCCUAUCCUGACGCUAAAUUGCGAAAGCUAGGGGAGCAAACAGAAUUAGAUACUCUGGUAGUCCUAGCCGUAAACGAUGAGCACUAGGUGUUGGGCCGUCAAGGUUCAGUGCCGCAGCUAACGCAUUAAGUGCUCC
rnacentral:rRNA from 1 species